rnacentral:rRNA from 1 species
ACGAACGCUGGCGGCAGGCUUAACACAUGCAAGUCGAACGCGUGUAGCAAUACACGAGUGGCGCACGGGUGAGUAACGCGUGGAUAUCUGCCUUUUGGUUCGGAAUAACCCCGGGAAACUGGGGCUAAUACCGGAUGGUUCCUACGGGAUAAAGAUUUAUCGCCAAAAGAUGAGUCCGCGUACGAUUAGCUAGUUGGUGAGGUAAUGGCUCACCAAGGCGACGAUCGUUAGCUGGUCUGAGAGGACGAUCAGCCACACUGGGACUGAGACACGGCCCAGACUCCUACGGGAGGCAGCAGUGGGGAAUAUUGGACAAUGGGGGCAACCCUGAUCCAGCCAUGCCGCGUGAGUGAUGAAGGCCUUCGGGUUGUAAAGCUCUUUUGGCGGGGACGAUGAUGACGGUACCCGCAGAAUAAGCCCCGGCUAACUUCGUGCCAGCAGCCGCGGUAAGACGAAGGGGGCUAGCGUUGUUCGGAAUUACUGGGCGUAAAGCGAGUGUAGGUGGUUUUCCAAGUUGGAUGUGAAAGCCUUGAGCUUAACUCAAGAAAUGCAUUCAGGACUGGAAGACUAGAGGACCGGAGAGGAUAGUGGAAUUCCCAGUGUAGUGG